AGACAACAAAAUGUUUAAUAUUAUUAUUUUGUCACCUUAGGUCGAUCGGUAUCUCACGUUUUUAAUUUAUUAAAAAUUUCAUUUCCUAAGUUUUUCUAGGUCACACCCAUUAUUUUUCCUGGGCCAUUAGCUCAGGUGGUUAGAGCGCACCCCUGAUAAGGGUGAGGUCCCUGGUUCAAGUCCAGGAUGGCCCAUAUCUCUAUGUUGGGGGUAUAGCUCAGUUGGUAGAGCGCCUGCUUUGCAAGCAGGAUGUCAGCGGUUCAAGUCCGCUUACCUCCACUGAUCACCACCUCUUCCAUAACCGGUAGAAAGGAAAUUUUUUGAGUUGUGAUCAAAUUCUGAAAGAAUCUAGCUUCCUAAUGAAAUCAUUAAGAUGCUGGAUUCAUUGAAUUAAUUUCAUUGAUUUCAGAGAACCUUGACAACUGCAUAGAUUAUUUUUAAAGACAAUAAGCAUCUUUAAUGAUGCAGAUUUAUUAUUUGUGCGAAAGCAUUAAUAACAAUUCUAUUAAGCUGAUGCUUCAAUUUUGAAGUUAUU
rnacentral:tRNA from 1 species